rnacentral:lncRNA from 1 species
UUGCAAGGAUGCGAAGCCAGAAAAAAAAAAAAAGACUUUUAAUUCUAUAAAUCGUCCCGCUGCGUGCGCGCGUCUGUCCGUACAGCGCGGUGCCCAACCCGAGAGAGGGCCUGGAUUCACCAAGGCUGGGGGCCUUGAGGGCUUUUUAGGGCACGUGAAAGGAAAAUUGAGCUAGAGUUGUGUCGGGAUAGAGAGUGGGAUCAUUUUGCACUCAAGGAAUUGAGAAGAUCCCGUUGGUACAGCAGUUUCCAAGGAUUUGUGUAGUGCGUUUUUUGGAUCUGGUUUGUACAAGCGAUCAGUAUAGGAGACGGGAUCCCUCCCGCCCUUACACCCCGCUGCGGGGUCAGCCGACGUGGGUGGGAUUUUGCCGGCGGCGAGGAGAGAAGGUGACGUGCGUGGCGCCAUGAUCGGAAGUCUGGACUGAAUUCUUAGCUGCGAGGUGGAAAAUGCGCGUGGGAGGGCGAUCUUGAGGGGUGAAGUCUGGCCUUCCCAUCUCCUACCAGGCAGGAGGGUUAUGCUGAAGGCUGGUUUUGCUGGUCUUUCAUUGUGGCUAAGGGCAGUUCCACAGAUACAGUCAUAGACUCCUUAAGUCAUGCUCUGCUUGCUUCUUCUAGUCUGCUGUUAUCUCUUUAUCUGAAUUUGAUGUAAAUAAAUCUCCACAUUCCUUAAA